AUCCGGACGACGGGUCCCACAUAAAACGAAAUGUGCAUCCUGGAU
rnacentral:hammerhead_ribozyme from 1 species